rnacentral:misc_RNA from 1 species
ACUAGAAACUGUUCUAUUAAGGGUAGCGGAGACAGUUUCUUGAAUAGCAGCUUUCCAGUUGUAUCCCUUGUUUGAUGUAAUAUAUAUUGCACCUUCAUCAGUUACCAUCUCUGCACUUUGUUCUCCGGUUGCCUUGAUAUAAACCAUGUCACCAGGAAGUUGAGAACUCAAAGGUAUCCGCUCCCAGUUUUCACCAGCAUCAGAAGUAUGCAACAAGAUUGCUGGUUUUCCAAUAAUCCACCCUUCCUUGCCUUUAAAACUGAUAGAAUUAAACCUAUAAUUGAAAUCUUCCUCUUCGGCAGAGGCUAUGGAUCUAGGUACCCAAGUAGUUCCUCCAUCCUUUGUUUCCAAAAUAGUUUGCCUAGUCCCCAGAACAAAACCGUGAUUUGGGUCGUCCGGAACGAAAGCAAUGUCGAGAAGGACGACACCAGGGUCAAUAGGAAGAAAAACUCUUUCCCAUUCAGAGAGAGGAGUGUCUUCAGCUUUGGCAACAGGGAGAGGAGAGAGGCUUACUCCUACUCCUAGUAAUGGAGGAAGAAUAAUGGCAGCAGCAGUGUCAGCAAUCAACUGUCUGCGGUUAAUAUUAGCUGAUCUGCAUAAAGGCAACCGAGGUGGAAAGUUAUGGGGAAGAAGAGGACGGGGAGUGGUAGUUAGAGGUUUUGCUGCAUUGGUUCUGAUUUGUUGUGAUUAAAAGAUGACUAGUUAGAUCUGGCUUGAUUUGUUUUUACCUUCGUA